rnacentral:rRNA from 1 species
CCCGUCCCAGGGCUAACACGUGCUACAGGGCUACACACGUGCUACAAGGGCUACACACGUGCUACAAGGGCUACACACGUGCUACAAAGGCUACACACGUGCUACAAAGGCUACACACGUGCUACAAGGGAUUCCCGCGGGCUACAAGAAGUGCACAGAUGGUACGAGGAACACCCAUGGGCAAGGAAGGCCUCUGGGCUGUUACUGACGCUGAGGAGCGAAAGCAUGGGGAGCGAACAGGAUUAGAUACCCUGGUAGUCCAUGCCGUAAACGUUGGGCACUAGGUGUGGGGGACAUUCCACGUUUUCCGCGCCGUAGCUAACGCAUUAAGUGCCCCGCCUGGGGAGUACGGCCGCAAGGCUAAAACUCAAAGGAAUUGACGGGGGCCCGCACAAGCGGCGGAGCAUGCGGAUUAAUUCGAUGCAACGCGAAGAACCUUACCAAGGCUUGACAUUCACCGGACCGCCCCAGAGAUGGGGUUUCCCUUCGGUGUUGGUGGACAGGUGGUGCAUGGUUGUCGUCAGCUCGUGUCGUGAGAUGUUGGGUUAAGUCCCGCAACGAGCGCAACCCUCGUUCUAUGUUGCCAGCACGUGUAUGGUGGGGACUCAUAGGAGACUGCCGGGGUCAACUCGGAGGAAGGUGGGGAUGACGUCAAAUCAUCAUGCCCCUUAUGUCUUGGGCUACACACGUGCUACAA